GAUGAACGCUAGCUACAGGCUUAACACAUGCAAGUCGAGGGGCAGCAUUAUCGAAGCUUGCUUUGGUAGAUGGCGACCGGCGCACGGGUGAGUAACGCGUAUCCAACCUUCCCCAUAGUAGGGCAUAGCCCGUAGAAAUGCGGAUUAAUACCCUAUGUAUUCCGAGGAUGACAUCUGAUUCGGAACAAAGGUUCACCGCUAUGGGAUGGGGAUGCGUCUGAUUAGGUUGCAGGCGGGGUAACGGCCCACCUGGCCUACGAUCAGUAGGGGUUCUGAGAGGAAGGUCCCCCACACUGGUACUGAGACACGGACCAGACUCC
rnacentral:rRNA from 1 species